CCUGGUCUUGACAUCCACGGAAGUUUUCAGAGAUGAGAAUGUGCCUUCGGGAACCGUGAGACAGGUGCUGCAUGGCUGUCGUCAGCUCGUGUUGUGAAAUGUUGGGUUAAGUCCCGCAACGAGCGCAACCCUUAUCCUUUGUUGCCAGCGAUUAGGUCGGGAACUCAAAGGAGACUGCCAGUGAUAAACUGGAGGAAGGUGGGGAUGACGUCAAGUCAUCAUGGCCCUUACGACCAGGGCUACACACGUGCUACAAUGGCGCAUACAAAGAGAAGCGACCUCGCGAGAGCAAGCGGACCUCAUAAAGUGCGUCGUAGUCCGGAUUGGAGUCUGCAACUCGACUCCAUGAAGUCGGAAUCGCUAGUAAUCGUGGAUCAGAAUGCCACGGUGAAUACGUUCCCGGGCCUUGUACACACCGCCCGUCACACCAUGGGAGUGGGUUGCAAAAGAAGUAGGUAGCUUAACCUUCGGGAGGGCGCUUACCACUUUGUGAUUCAUGACUGGGGUGAAGUCGUAACAAGGUAACCGUAGGGGAACCUGCGGUUGGA
rnacentral:rRNA from 1 species